UACGGAGGGUGCAAACGUUGCUCGGAAUCAUUGGGCGUAAAGCGCACGUAGGCGGUCCAGCAAGUCGGGUGUGAAAGCCCUCGGCUUAACCGAGGAAGUGCAUUCGAAACUACUGGGCUUGAGUACUGAAGAGGAUCGCGGAAUUCCCGGUGUAGAGGUGAAAUUCGUAGAUAUCGAGAGGAACACCGGUGGCGAAGGCGGCGAUCUGGACGAUGACUGACGCUGAGACGCGAAAGCGUGGGGAGCAAACAGG
rnacentral:rRNA from 1 species